AACAAGAUAAGCUAACCUAAGCUAGUGGGCCCAUAACCCAAAAAUGACAUUUUUCUCUUGUU
rnacentral:tRNA from 1 species